UACUCCUACGGGAGGCAGCAGUGGGGAAUAUUGCACAAUGGAGGAAACUCUGAUGCAGCGACGCCGCGUGAACGAUGAAGGCUUUCGGGUCGUAAAGUUCUGUCCUUGGGGACGAUAAUGACGGUACCCAAGGAGGAAGCCCCGGCUAACUACGUGCCAGCAGCCGCGGUA
rnacentral:rRNA from 1 species